CCUCACGCCUGCGUCCUCCAGAAAACUACCACAAAUCCUACCUCGCGCCGACGCCCCCUCCGCUGCCCCUCCGACGCCGACGCCCCCUUCGAUGCGGCUGCCUCCGAUGCCGACUGCCCCAACGACUCCGACGGCCCCGACGCCGACUGCCCCUCCGAGGCCGACGCCCCCUUCGACGUUGCGGCCUGCUCGCCGAUCGCCCGCAGCACGCCGUAGCUGCCCCCGGAAAUCAUGUCGAUCUGAUCUGUCGCAGCUUGACUGCCUUCUUUCCCUCCGACGCUGAGAGCAUGGCUUAUGGUUACGUCGAGUGCCGGCUGGGAGAGAUGCCAUGUCACGAAGCGGUGGUAGCGGACUCCACACAAAAUUAAAUGCUCUGCAGGUUCAGCAGCAACGUGGCGACGAAGGAAUGGUGAUGGCAGGCUCAAAAACUGCCCAACUGUGCAAUCGUCCGCUUUGAGCCGGCGUGAAGGGAGUCGCCUGCUUUCUUCUCUCUCCUACCUUCUCUCUCCGCCAUGUCGUAUUUCCCCAGCUGAAUCAGCCUCAUAAUACUUGCUCUGACGCCCUCCCACCCCCACGACGCCGUGACAGCAGGAUGGAUACUUGUCUUGGUGCUCCUCUCAGGCCGAGCGCUCCCGCCCACUCGUGCACUCGCCCACACUCGGAAUUGGAGAUAUAAUCUAAAAGCGCCUAGGUGAUUUUCUGCUAAAGAUCCUUAGUUUGUUUAUAAAAUGUGAUAAUGUGAUAAUUAAUUGGUUAUUAUACAGGACUGACUAUAUGUGCAAGAUCAAAAUUUACACUAUCAAGAUUUUUAGGUUGCUCUCACAAGCUGCAGAUUGUAGAGAUAUAGUGUUUUGCAUUAUCUGUGUACUGAACUAAUCAUUAAAUUGAUCGCAUAAGUGAACCCUGUCCUACACUACAAAUGCAAGGUUUAUGAUUUGUGAAGCCUUGGUUGGCAAUAAUUUUACUUAGAUUAACCCUGUUCUGUACUGCAAGCUUGGUGAUACUUUUCUGUUUAUGAAUUAAAAUGUUACUACCAACUGUGCAUCUGUCUUCAGAGUUAGAUCAAAAGAUUUUCUCCAUACCCUGCUACAUGACUAUACAAUUAUGUUUGAGAAAAGAUAUUGCAGCCUUUGCUUUCGAUGUAGGGUUUAUUUGAUGGGGGAUGGCAUAUAUGGUCAUCGGAGAAGUAACCUUAGGGUGUACUGAGUAUCAAAUGAGAUCACAUAAUGUAUCAUUGAAAACAGAUUUGAUUGAACAUUAGAGUCUCACUCUCACGUAAGGGGCAUCUUUCAGGUGCCUCUCAGGAGAGAAGCUAAGGUUCCCUCAAAUAUUUGGUCAUCCUUCUUUCAAAUGACAUGGUAAGUAUGACUACAACUACUCUACUUUCUAUGAGGUGCCAUAUGGAGAUUGAUGAACUCUGCUUAUAUAAACAAUGAAAACAGCAUGGUUGUUUGAUAUUGUUUCAAAUUUCUUUUGUACUAACUCAAAGGAUAAUUUUAUUCAUGCCAGUUGCUGCUCUUGAUUGUGCCCAUGGCUUUCCCUCUAGACACUGCUGGCAAUUAUCCAUGGAUACCUUGUGGUACUAAAAUAAUUUAUGAUUGUGCUGUUGUUGGCGUCUUGCCUAGCUGAUGUUUGCAACUGAGGUUACUAGGCAUUACCAGCAUCAUAGUAACAUGCAUUUACUUCUUGACUAGCUGAUGUUUGUAGGUUAUAUGCAUAUGCUUGUACUUGAAGUCUACAAUGACCUUACGAUCCUGCUAAAGGAGUAUCAAUUGCUUGGCCUUCGAGUUGUGUGACAUAGCUGAUUUUUUGAAUAUAUAAUAUUACAACUAGCUUAUUUUCUCUAUGCAGUUUGAAAUGGUACAUAUUAAAGCUAUAUUUCUCAAUGCAGGUUGAAAUGAGAUAUGACUGAAUUCUUAUGUUUGGAUUUAUUCGAGAAUGAAUCAAGAAACAACGAAUUUUAGGAUUCCAGGAUACUUAUUCAGUUAUACUUCAUUUUUCCUUUCCAGUAGUAUAGACUAUAGACUUUGUACACUUGGCUACAACGUAACAUUUGUCUUCUAAAUGUACGCUUUUAUGUAUAUUAUAUACAUUUAUUUCCCUUCUACAAUCAAUGUACCUUCUUAUGAUUAUUGAAAAUUACAGUUUGUGUGAUUGUGCUA